rnacentral:rRNA from 1 species
AAUAGAUACCCAGGUAGUCCUAGCCGUAAACGAUACUCGCUAGGUGUCGGCCACGGUGCGACCGUUGUCGGUGCCGUAGGGAAGCCGUGAAGCGAGCCACCUGGGAAGUACGGCCGCAAGGCUGAAACUUAAAGGAAUUGGCGGGGGAGCACCACAACGGGUGGAGCUUGCGGUUUAAUUGGAUUCAACGCCGGAAAUCUUACCGGGACCGACAGCAACAUGAAGGCCAGGCUGAAGACUUUGCCGGAUUAGCUGAGAGGUGGUGCAUGGCCGUCGUCAGUUCGUACUGUGAAGCAUCCUGUUAAGUCAGGCAACGGGCGAGACCCACGCCCACAGUUGCCAGCGUACUCUCCGGAGUGACGGGUACGCUGUGGGGACCGCCGCUGCUAAAGCGGAGGAAGGAAUGGGCAACGGUAGGUCAGUAUGCCCCGAAUAUCCCGGGCUACACGCGAGCUACAAUGGUUGGUACAAUGGGUAUCUACCCCGGAAAGGGGAUGGAAAUCUCCUAAAGCCAAUCUUAGUUCGGAUUGAGGGUCUGCAACUCGCCCUCA